UUGUAUUCUAUCAGAUUUAUCCCUGUUGAAGACUAAGGAUAAAUUUUUUUACAUUAUCUUAGUCAUAAUAUUCUUUACUGGGCUAGUUGAGCUCACCCUUUUCCUUUUUGUUCCAUUUUUCUUCUUAGGAGACGAGAAUAUAGCGGGAACUAGUUGGGGUGUGGAGUGAUGGUUCAAGACAGUUGUUUUAGUAGUCCUCACCAUUUUGUAAAAUAGUGUAUCAAUAAUUGUAUGAGGACUUAUUUGAGUGUGGAUAUUGUCUAGAUGACAAUAUUUGUAUUUAAACUCACAGUAUAUGUGUUGUCGUAUUUUGCACGACAAAUGUAUUAAUAAAGUUGUAGUUGUUUCUGUACCAUGUAUUUGGCAACUCAGAAUAGGUUGGAUGGAAUGGACUUAUUUUGGGGGCGUCACACGCUACAUGUUGUAACGGUUGGUAUAUUCUAAAAAAAUCUAUUUUUUUUUAUAAAAUCUGACAAAGUGGGAC
rnacentral:lncRNA from 1 species